GAAAGGUUAAUGUCAAUAAAAUAGAUGAUGCUCUUGAAAACAUGAGAAUCCCACUUGAGGAAGAAGAAAUUGAGAAACUGUGUGAAGACUUACCUCUUGAUGGGGAAGAAAUUGACUAUCAAGACCUGGAAAAUAUUCUGAAAACCAUAGGGUUAAGACUCCAACUAAAGGAAAACUCGGUAUUGAUGAAAAGUUUGCCACUUGAUGCUGCUGGAAAGUUGUAUAAGCAUAAGUUGCUGGAUGGUAUAAGGUCUCUCAAAGGAGUGAAGCUUAGUGUUGAUAAACUAGAACCUUUCAUGGAACAUAUGGGCUUUGAGCUUGAGGAAGAGGAAUACCAAGAUCUGAAAAACAACCUGCCCAUUGAUGAUGAGGGAAGAGUUAAUGUGAAUGUGGUGAUGGAUGAAGGAUAUCUUUUUACAGGUGAGAAGGUUGAUGCUAGGAACCUGGAAAAUUUUCUGGAAAAUAUGGGGAUAAAUCUCACAGAAGAUAAAGGCAUGCAACUGCUGAAUAAUCUUCCAAUUGAUGGUAAGCAUUAAAAAUAUCACACAACCAGGCGUAGUGGCACAUGCUUGUGGUC
rnacentral:lncRNA from 1 species